rnacentral:rRNA from 1 species
UACGGGAGGCAGCAGGGGGAAUAUUGCACAAUGGGCGAAAGCCUGAUGCAGCUAUGCCGCGUGUAUGAAGAAGGCCUUAGGGUUGUAAAGUACUUUCAUCGGGGAGGAAAAAACAAAACUAAUAAUUUUAUUUCUUGACGUUACCCGAAAAAGAAGCACCGGCUAACUCCGUGCCAGCAGCCGCGGUAAUACGGAGGGUGCUAGCGUUAAUCAGAAUUACUGGGCGUAAAGAGCACGUAGGUGGUUUUUUUAAAGUCAGAUGUGAAAUCCCUGGGCUUUAACCUAGGAACUGCAUUUUGAAACUGAAAUACUAGAGUAUCGUAGAGGGAGGUAGAAUUCUAGGUGUAGCGGUGAAAUGCGUAGAUAUCUGGAGGAAUACCUGUGGCGAAAGCGGCCUCCUAAACGAAUACUGACACUGAGGGUGCGAAAGCGUGGGGAGCAAACGAGGAUUAGAUA